UAUUUCCCCACAGUUGCUUUCCUGUUUUAUGUAAUGAGCUCUGGUAUGUAUGUAUUCAUAUAUUGCGUGUGAAAGUAACCAAGAGCCGCGCACUUUACUCCUCCCCCUCUUCUUCCGCACACUUUUAAGGAAGGCGAAGAAGUGGGAGGAGAGCAUCAUAGAUAGACGUUGUGUGACGUCGCCAUCUUGACUAGUUGUGGAAGACGUGCUACUUUGAGGUCCGGUCCAACCGGCAGACCGCCUACCAGCAGCAGCAUGCACUUGCUCUCUCUGGCAGCGCCGCAGCAGCCCAGGAAGCCGAUGAUGACCAGCAGUGCGCCGACGGCGAUCAGCAGGUAGCCCACAUUGAGCACCUGAUUGAGCUCUGCGGGUGCGUUAUCAAUGCUCCCUAGGAAGCCCAGGAUAGAGCCGCUAUCCACCUUCACCCAGAUGCCAACACCCAGGAUGGCUGCACCUGCUACCUGGGAUAUAAGGAUGCAUAUUCGGUGGGGCCAAAAGCUCUGGCCGGGAAGGUGACCGGGCCGAGUCACUCAAGUCUUCAUCCGGCUUUCCCAAUUUAUCAACAAAGGACGUUGCCAUAGUGACACACUCAUAACCACAUCCGAUGUGCUCCUCUUCUCCAAGUUGCUCAUUUGCGCCUUCAUCUCGGCUUUGCCUCACAUCGUCAGCUUCCUCUUCUGAGGCAAGGGAGUGAAACAUUGCUUCAGGGGAGCCUUGGGGUCGCUCCAGUACCAUCUCCAUCUCCCACACUUGCGGUUCUGUCAGCGGGAGGUCAUUGGAGGAGGUUUCCAUACUGGCAUGGUGUGAUUGAUCUUCAGUCUGUUCUAUGUUAUUUGUGGUUAUGUGUUGAACCUCAGAAACAACCGGAGUUUCUUCUAAAUCUACAAAAAUAGGAAGUGUGUUAUUGUUUGACACAAUAACGGUUUAUAGUUUGUCAAUACGCACCUUUGUUUGUUUUUCUUCCCCGACCGACUAAUCUCUUAGGCACCAGUGAGUCUUUUUUUGCAGCGCUGUCACAAUCAUCUCCAUGCUCUCUCUCCUCCCCCUCCGAGUCACUUGUCUCUCUCAGCGGGGAGAAAAGUUGUUGCACAAAUGAAUGGUCGGAGUCACAUUGCCAGAUGGCAGCCGUGGAGAAGUUAGGCUGGGGCUCCAAAGCUAUGAGCUGGGGCUCAUGGGGGCAGGAACGCAAGUGUUCCUGGUACCAACACACCAGGGUAUGGAGGCUUGACUCACGCUCUUUCUUUACUGGCAAAACAACACACAAAGAAGGUGUCAAAUAACAGUGCUUUGUAUAUUUGGUCAUUUAAAAAAUGCAAUAUGUUGGAUAUUAUUUAAUGCUAUUUAAAGUUGUUCCAAAAGUGGUUUCCUAGAUCCUAGAUUCCUAGAAGUGUUUGUUCAAAGGUUGUGUUUCCUGUGUGGAAUCUCCGCACGCCCUCUGGAGGAGGCUGUGGUGCAAAAGCCUCUGUCAGUACUGAGUUUAAUGUCCAUCCAUACUUAGGAUGCACUUAAUGAUCAAUUAAUCCACUAUUUUGUCCUUAAAACCGUAGGAUUUCCCAUAUAUUCAUUUAUUUAUUAAUUUGUGGCGGCAAGCACAGUUGGUCUCUCUUCUUUAGCUUGUUAGCGUAUGGGCACAGAAGACAAUUUUUGUCAUUUAUUAUAGUGGAAAGAUUUAUAUACACUGUAUCAUUUUCACUGUCCAUACAAUCCCAUGCUAUGCAUCAUCAUUGUACUAUAAAUAAUAUUUACCUUUUCCCUGGUUUACAGACUCCUCACUUGCAGUGUUUUUCCUGUAACACACAAUAGUGUCAUUUGAAGAAUGUAU